GACGAAGGGGGCUAGCGUUGUUCGGAAUUACUGGGCGUAAAGCGCGUGUAGGCGGUUGCCCAAGUCGGGUGUGAAAGCCUUGAGCUCAACUCAAGAAAUGCACUCGGUACUGGGUGACUAGAGGACCGGAGAGGAUAGUGGAAUUCCCAGUGUAGUGGUGAAAUACGUAGAGAUUGGGAAGAACACCAGUGGCGAAGGCGGCUAUCUGGACGGUUUCUGACGCUAAGACGCGAAAGCGUGGGGAUCAAACAGG
rnacentral:rRNA from 1 species